rnacentral:rRNA from 1 species
GACGAACGCUGGCGGCGUGCCUAAUACAUGCAAGUAGAACGCUGAAGAGAGGAGCUUCCUCUUCUUGGAUGAGUUGCGAACGGGUGAGUAACGCGUAGGUAACCUGCCUUGUAGCGGGGGAUAACUAUUGGAAACGAUAGCUAAUACCGCAUAACAAUGGAUGACACAUGUCAUUUAUUUGAAAGGGGCAAUUGCUCCACUACAAGAUGGACCUGCGUUGUAUUAGCUAGUAGGUGAGGAAAUGGCUCACCUAGGCGACGAUACAUAGCCGACCUGAGAGGGAGAUCGGCCACACUGGGACUGAGACACGGCCCAGACUCCUACGGGAGGCAGCAGUAGGGAAUCUUCGGCAAUGGGGGCAACCCUGACCGAGCAACGCCGCGUGAGUGAAGAAGGUUUUCGGAUCGUAAAGCUCUGUUGUAAGUCAAGAACGGGUGUGAGAGUGGAAAGUGCACACUGUGACGGUAGCUGACCAGAAAGGGACGGCUAACUACGU